GUAGUUGUAGCUCAGUGGUGGAGUGCUUGCCUCCCAUGUGUGAGGCACUGGGUUCGGUCCUCAGCACCACA
rnacentral:tRNA from 1 species